AGAGAUAUCACCAGCGGCUGAUGGACCAUCUCCUGAAGGACCCAUCGCCGAGCCUGACGGAGAAUCUGACGGUGAAGAAGAAGUAGAGCCUCCCGGAGCCAACGAUGGAGAAACGGUGGGUGAGUUUGAAACAGGGGAUGAAGAUUUAGGUGCCAUUGAUCCAGGUGGUGAAGUCAUCGGAGCAGAAGACGGAGGAAUAGUUGAAGAUGAUUUAGGUGCCAUUGGUGCCGGCGGUGAAGUCAUCGGAGCAGAGGAUGGGGAAACAGGGGACGUGGAUUUAGGUGGUGCCGGUGGUGAAGUCGUCGGAGAAACAGGGGAGCCGGAUUUAGGCGCCAUUGAUCCUGGAGGAGAAGUCGCCGGAGAGACAGCUGAUGAAGAUUUAGGCGAGUGAGCUCCUCCAGGCGGAGUAGUCGAUCCCGGAGGAGAAGUCGUCGGAGAAACAGGGGAGGAAGAUUUAGGCGAGUGGGCUCCUCCCGGCGGAGUCAUUGAUCCCGGCGUAGAGCUUCCCGGUGCAGCGGCGUGAGGAGACUGAGCCGUUGAUGGAAUCCUAGCAGAUAUGACAACGACAUUAAGCUUUUGACCCUUCUUACA
rnacentral:lncRNA from 1 species